UCGAACGAUGAAGCCUGGCUUGCUGGGUGGAUUAGUGGCGAACGGGUGAGUAACACGUGAGUAACCUGCCCUUGACUCUGGGAUAAGCGCUGGAAACGGCGUCUAAUACCGGAUAUGACCUGCCCCGGCAUCGGGUGUGGGUGGAAAGUUUUUCGGUCAAGGAUGGACUCGCGGCCUAUCAGCUUGUUGGUGAGGUAAUGGCUCACCAAGGCGACGACGGGUAGCCGGCCUGAGAGGGUGACCGGCCACACUGGGACUGAGACACGGCCCAGACUCCUACGGGAGGCAGCAGUGGGGAAUAUUGCACAAUGGGCGAAAGCCUGAUGCAGCAACGCCGCGUGGGGGAUGACGGCCUUCGGGUUGUAAACCUCUUUUAGUAGGGAAGAAGGGCUUCGGCUUGACGGUACCUGCAGAAAAAGCACCGGCUAACUACGUGCCAGCAGCCGCGGUAAUACGUAGGGUGCAAGCGUUGUCCGGAAUUAUUGGGCGUAAAGAGCUCGUAGGCGGUUUGUCGCGUCUGCUGUGAAAACCCGAGGCUCAACCUCGGGCCUGCAGUGGGUACGGGCAGACUAGAGUGCGGUAGGGGAGAAUGGAAUUCCUGGUGUAGCGGUGGAAUGCGCAGAUAUCAGGAGGAACACCGAUGGCGAAGGCAGUUCUCUGGGCCGUUACUGACGCUGAGGAGCGAAAGCGUGGGGAGCGAACAGGAUUAGAUACCCUGGUAGUCCACGCCGUAAACGUUGGGAACUAGAUGUGGGGGCCUUUCCACGGUCUCCGUGUCGCAGCUAACGCAUUAAGUUCCCCGCCUGGGGAGUACGGCCGCAAGGCUAAAACUCAAAGGAAUUGACGGGGGCCCGCACAAGCGGCGGAGCAUGCGGAUUAAUUCGAUGCAACGCGAAGAACCUUACCAAGGCUUGACAUAUACCGGAAACUUCCAGAGAUGGUUGCCCCGCAAGGUCGGUAUACAGGUGGUGCAUGGUUGUCGUCAGCUCGUGUCGUGAGAUGUUGGGUUAAGUCCCGCAACGAGCGCAACCCUCGUUCUAUGUUGCCAGCACGUUAUGGUGGGAACUCAUAGGAGACUGCCGGGGUCAACUCGGAGGAAGGUGGGGAUGACGUCAAAUCAUCAUGCCCCUUAUGUCUUGGGCUUCACGCAUGCUACAAUGGCCGGUACAAAGGGCUGCGAUACCGUAAGGUGGAGCGAAUCCCAAAAAGCCGGUCUCAGUUCGGAUUGAGGUCUGCAACUCGACCUCAUGAAGUCGGAGUCGCUAGUAAUCGCAGAUCAGCAACGCUGCGGUGAAUACGUUCCCGGGCCUUGUACACACCGCCCGUCAAGUCAUGAAAGUCGGUAACACCCGAAGCCAGUGGCCUAACCGUA
rnacentral:rRNA from 1 species